rnacentral:rRNA from 2 species
AGAGUUUGAUCAUGGCUCAGGAUGAACGCUGGCGGCGUGCCUAAGGCAUGCAAGUCGAAGGAGUCGACUUGUCGACUCCUGGCAAACGGGUGAGUAACACGUGUGAAUCUACCUUUCAGUCAGGAACAACCCCGAGAAAUCGGGGAUAAUUCUGGAUAGUCCCCGAAUUUCGGGGUAAAAGGCGUAACUGCCUGCUGGGAGAGGAGCGCGCGUCCCAUUAGCUUGUUGGUAGGGUAAUGGCCUACCAAGGCAACGAUGGGUAGCCGAUCUGAGAGGAUGAUCGGCCACAAUGGCACUGCGACACGGGCCAUACUCCUACGGGAGGCAGCAGCUAGGAAUAUUGCGCAAUGGACGAAAGUCUGACGCAGCGACGCCGCGUGCGGGAUGACAGCCUUCGGGUUGUAAACCGCUCAGCCCCGAGAAAUCGGGGUGAAAAGCACCUACUAACUAUGUGCCAGCAGUCGCGGUAAUACAUAGGGUGCAAGCGUUAUCCGGAUUUAUUGGGCGUAAGGGUCCGUAGGCGGUCUUUUAAGUCUUGCUUCAAAGCUCCCGGCUCAACUGGGAAAAGGGGCAGGAGACUAGGAGACUAGAACGAGGCCGAGGCUAAUGGAACUUGCUGUGUAGGGGUAAAAUCCGUGGAUACGGCAAGGAACGCCAAUGGCGAAAGCAAUUAGCCAGGACUAUGUUGACGCUGAUGGACGAAAGCUAGGGGAGCGAACCGGAUUAGAGACCCGGGUAGUCCUAGCCCUAAACAAUGUCCGCUAGCUUCCCCGAUAUUUCGGGGGGGCGCAAGUUAACACGUUAAGCGGAUCGCCUGGGGAGUACGACCGCAAGGUUGAAACUCAAACGAAUUGGCGGGGAGGCGCACAACCAGUGGAGCAUGUGGUUCAAUUCGAAACGAAGCGAUGAACCUUACCUGGACUUGACAUCAUAUUUCUGUUCUGCCAGAGAUGGCGGAUCUAAACGAUAUGACAGCUGUUGCAUGGCUAUCGUCAGCUCGUGACGUGAGUCGUUCGCUUCAGUGCGGUAACGAGCGCAACCCCUGUCCUGUGUUACUUGUGUCACAGGAGACAGGGUCGAUUUUUUUCGACCAGGAAGGAGGGGACGAUGUUAAGUCAGCAUGACGCUUAUGUCCAGGGCUACACACAUCCUACAAUGACCGAUACAAUGGGUUGCUAAGUCGCAAGGCGGAGCUAAUCCCAUCAAAAUCGGUCUCAGUUGGGAUUGGGGGCUGCAACUCGCCCCCAUGAACUUGGAAUUGGUAGUAAUCGGAGAUCAGCAGGCUCCGGUGAAUGCGUUCUCGCCUCUUGCACACACUGCCCGUCACUUCAGCAAAGUCGGCAGUACCCGAAGAGUCGAAAUUUCGACUUUAAGGUAAGGUCGGUGAUGAGGGAGAAGUCGUAACAAGGUAGCCG